rnacentral:rRNA from 1 species
UUCUAGCUUGCUAGAAGUGGAUUAGUGGCGCACGGGUGAGUAAGGUAUAGUUAAUCUGCCCUACACAAGAGGACAACAGUUGGAAACGACUGCUAAUACUCUAUAUUCCUGCUUAACACAAGUUGAGUAGGGAAAGUUUUUCGGUGUAGGAUGAGACUAUAUAGUAUCAGCUAGUUGGUAAGGUAAUGGCUUACCAAGGCUAUGACGCUUAACUGGUCUGAGAGGAUGAUCAGUCACACUGGAACUGAGACACGGUCCAGACUCCUACGGGAGGCAGCAGUAGGGAAUAUUGCGCAAUGGGGGAAACCCUGACGCAGCAACGCCGCGUGGAGGAUGACACUUUUCGGAGCGUAAACUCCUUUUCUUAGGGAAGAAUUCUGACGGUACCUAAGGAAUAAGCACCGGGCUAACUCCGUGCCAGCAGCCGCGGUAAUACGGAGGGUGCAAGCGUUACUCGGAAUCACUGGGCGUAAAGGGCGCGUAGGCGGAUUAUCAAGUCUCUUGUGAAAUCUAAUGGCUUAACCAUUAAACUGCUUGGGAAACUGAUAGUCUGGAGUGAGGGAGAGGCAGAUGGAAUUGGUGGUGUAGGGGUAAAAUCCGUAGAUAUCACCAAGAAUACCCAUUGCGAAGGCGAUCUGCUGGAACUCAACUGACGCUAAGGCGCGAAAGCGUGGGGAGCAAACAGGAUUAGAUACCCUGGUAGUCCACGCCCUAAACGAUGUACACUAGUUGUUGGGGUGCUAGUCAUCUCAGUAAUGCAGCUAACGCAUUAAGUGUACCGCCUGGGGAGUACGGUCGCAAGAUUAAAACUCAAAGGAAUAGACGGGGACCCGCACAAGCGGUGGAGCAUGUGGUUUAAUUCGAAGAUACGCGAAGAACCUUACCUGGGCUUGAUAUCCUAAGAACCUCUUAGAGAUAAGAGGGUGCUAGCUUGCUAGAACUUAGAGACAGGUGCUGCACGGCUGUCGUCAGCUCGUGUCGUGAGAUGUUGGGUUAAGUCCCGCAACGAGCGCAACCCACGUAUUUAGUUGCUAACGGUUCGGCCGAGCACUCUAAAUAGACUGCCUUCGUAAGGAGGAGGAAGGUGUGGACGACGUCAAGUCAUCAUGGCCCUUAUGCCCAGGGCGACACACGUGCUACAAUGGCAUAUACAAUGAGACGCAAUACCGCGAGGUGGAGCAAAUCUAUAAAAUAUGUCCCAGUUCGGAUUGUUCUCUGCAACUCGAGAGCAUGAAGCCGGAAUCGCUAGUAAUCGUAGAUCAGCCAUGCUACGGUGAAUACGUUCCCGGGUCUUGUACUCACCGCCCGUCACACCAUGGGAGUUGAUUUCACUCGAAGCCGGAAUACUAAACUAGUA